rnacentral:rRNA from 1 species
UAGGGAAUAUUGCGCAAUGGGGGAAACCCUGACGCAGCGACGCCGCGUGAGUGACGAAGGCCUUCGGGUCGUAAAGCUCUGUUGUAAGGGAAAAUGAUGAUGGUACCUUAUAAGAAAGGACCGGCUAACUUCGUGCCAGCAGCCGCGGUAAGACGAGGGGUCCUAGCGUUGUUCGGAAUCAUUGGGCGUAAAGCGCAUGUAGGCGGCCAAAUAAGUCGGAUGUGAAAUCCCUGGGCUCAACCCAGGACGUGCACUCGAUACUGCUUGGCUUGAAUAUGGGAGAGGAUAGUGGAAUUCCUGGUGUAGUGGUGAAAUACGUAGAUAUCAGGAGGAACACCGGUGGCGAAGGCGGCUAUCUGGCCCAAUAUUGACGCUGAGAUGCGAAAGCGUGGGGAUCAAACAGGAUUAGAUACCCCGGUAGUCC